rfam:Cricetulus griseus cell line CHO-K1, whole genome shotgun sequence.
CGAUGAGUCAUUGAUCUGGUUCAAGGGCUCAUGGCCCUCACUGGGACUCCUCUUGGUCAUCUUGCUUCCUCCCUCACCACUCCAUGUGCGGCCUUCCCAAAGCUGCACAGGGUCAAAGAGGAUAACCUUCCCCAAAUAGAGGAGGACCAGUCUUCGGCCAAGACUAUGCUUCCCUGCUAGAACCUCCAAACAAGGUCUCAAGUAUACACAAUUUAAAGAACAGAUCUGUUACAACAACAAAAAAAAAUUGACUGGCAGAUUUUGAACAUACACCUGCAUGCAAAAGGUUUUCAAGU